rnacentral:lncRNA from 1 species
UCAAUGUCCGUCGUCUUGUACGGUCGUGGUCGAGUUAAGCCUAAAACGUAGAGUUUUCACUUAGUUCUUCCUUACUGGUAGAAUCCCUAAGUGACACCUCUAAGAGUGCUUAAGCAAGGUAACAUUCUUUUUUCAAACACGCCUUACUCCACACUGAAUUACCUCUCGAGAUCUAACUCAUAUUCUCUAUCUAAUCUCCCUUGUUCUCUAGCUUCGCUAGUCGGACUGGAUUAGGCAAAAAUCUCUUGAAUUAUGAGUUGGUUUUUGACUCUUUGAGGGUUCACAGGAUAAGAGCCUGUCGGCAAACAUGGGAACAUGCCUGAAGCUUGGUUCCCAGACGCGUAAGCUACUCAGAAAGCACCACACGACGAUGAUCUCGAAUAUCAUUAUACGAUUUUUCGUAAAAUGAGAAAUCGGUUUGGAUAUUAGUAGGAAGAUCUGACACCAAAGACCGAGCGAGUUGGUUUGUGGACCCAACUUGCGAGGUUACCCCCGAGCCUGAAGCGAGGGCACCGCAGCUACUUUCCAAGCAGCGAGGAUACAGUACCCUUCAGUAAUAUAUAAAAUAACUUAUUUAUUUAUAUAAACUUAUACUUAUAUAAAUAUAUACUUAUAUAAAUAGUUUUUUAUAUCUUAUUAUAUUUAGUAAAGGCUUAUCUUUCUAAAGAAAAAUGAGCUAUAUAGCAUUUUAGAUGAUCCCUAAUGGCAUACAUUAAAAGUAGUUAUAGAAGCUAUUCUGACGCUAAUCUGUGGCCAUAAAACACUUUUUAAAUUUGAUACAAGUGCCUAUACGGGCGUACACGCACACGCGCAUGCGUAAAGAGAUCCCCCUAUAGAAGAUACUCCUCUUACACAUAAUAGUAAGGGCGAGGGAUUUCCUCGGCUCUGAUUCUCCUCUUGUUAUAGUAUGGACCCUCAUUAUUUAUACUUCAUAGUAUAAAUAAUAUCAAUUCAUAGGUGGUAGGGAGGGGUUCGGGGGAGGUCCUCCUCCCCUGAUACCGAGCCCGAUAGGGCUCGGAACCUUUGAUUAAAAAAAUAACUUUUAGGAGUUGAACCUAACUACCGAAAAGUGAUCGAAGGUAAUCUUUUCGAACUAGAAAGCUGUGAAGCAGACCUUAUGAAUUGAACCUAAUUUUUUUUUGCUUCUUUUUCUUUUUGGCGAGUGUUAAGCACCAAAGAAAAAAAAGCAAAAGAAAAAUUGGCAGGUUUCAAUACUAAAUCUAUAACAGUAUGGAGCCAUCGUCGCGUCGUUAGCAUGCUUGUGAUCUAGUCCUAUCCUUUUGGGAAGGAGGAUCGACAAGUGACCCUAUAGUUUCUGUCUCCCAGNNNNNNNNNNNNNNNNNNNNAAGCAAAAGAAAAAUUGGCAGGUUUCAAUACUAAAUCUAUAACAGUAUGGAGCCAUCGUCGCGUCGUUAGCAUGCUUGUGAUCUAGUCCUAUCCUUUUGGGAAGGAGGAUCGACAAGUGACCCUAUAGUUUCUGUCUCCCAGCCCGUAGGCAAGGGCAUGCCAACAGACUUCAGGCAUCAAUGUCCACCGUCUUGUACGGUCGUGGUCGAGUUAAGCCUAAAACGUAGAUUUUUCACUUAGUUCUUUCUUACUGGUAGAAUCCCUAAGUGACACCUCUAAGAGUGCUUAACCAAGGUAACAUUCUUUUUUCAAACACGCCUUACUCCACAUUGAAUUACCUCUCGAGAUCUAACUCAUAUUCUCUAUCUAAUCUCCCUUGUUCUCUAGCUUCGCUAGUCAGACUGGAUUAGGCAAAACUCUCCGGAAUUAUGAGUUGGUUUUCGACUCUUUGAGGGUUCACAGGACAAGAGCCUGUCGGCAAACAUAGGAACAUGCCU